rnacentral:tRNA from 1 species
GGGGUUGUGGGCCAGUUUGGUAAGCUUCCACCUUCGGGAGGUGGCGACCCCGGUUCAAAUCCGGGCAACCCCA